AGCCAUGCCAUGUGCCAGCAGCCCUGCUUCUGGCCCCGAUUUUUAAGAAGGGGAGGGGAAAAAAUAACAGAAGGAAAAAAGUGAACAUGAGUAAUGGGCCUGGAAUGAGGCAUACGAGAUAACACUGAAUAAUAACACGUCAAAAACUACAAGAUGUAUUUUUUUUAUUUCCCAGUGGAGUUUCCAUUGCGCUAAUCCAUCACUGUAGAGCAGGCAAGAUUAUGCUUCCCCAAAAAAACUCUGAGAGAUAAAUGUGCCUGUGGAUCCUUGCUUGGGAGUGAUGCAAGGGGGAAGAAUAGGGAAGGUGCAAAAGUCUAACCACCUCUUAUCCAGCAUCCUCAAGACAGGUCGGGUGGUCUACGCUCCCACCUCCAUCCAGAUAAGGAGGAUUGGUCCUGCUGUGGGCUUUGUGAGUGUGAAUUUGGAGAGGGCCCCAAGAUGCCCUGGAAGAGGCCAUGAUGGCAGAGCUGGUGAAGCUGACCACAGGCAGGAGAAAGACAUUCAGCAGUUAGUGUGGCUCACCUUUGAGAGUUUGAGGUCCAUAGAAGCCGGAAGCACUUUGUUCCAGAAUACAUUCGUCAACUCCAGAGAGACCACACCCUUGGGGCCGGAUGGAGAAGAUGGGACCGUGUUCUCUUGGAGAGCCCGGCUAGUAGGCCGAUUGGCUAGAGUUGAUUCCCAUGAGCAUUGCUGAAGUUGGGACAAACUCAAUUUUAAGUUAAGUGGAAAUAUUUUUAUUUGAGUUAAUGUACAUUGAAUCUGGUAAACACACAGAGUAUAUUACUACGCACUCUGGAAAUGUGCAGUCCGAUCAGCAAACAGAUUAGUUUUAAGUGAAAAGACACUGGCAGGCGCUUAAAUUCAUUGACUUGUUGAGAACGUCUAGAUUUGGAUACAAAUGCACUGGAACGCUACAUCAGUUUGGUGUCUCAGCCCAUCCGCACGGAGAAGCUAUUGAUUUUAGUUGAUAUGCAUUGAUUCCCAGAAAACAGGACGGCUUUUGAAAAUGAACUUCCAGUAAUUUCAGGGAGAAGCUGGCGCGUUUGUCUCCACGCGAGGCUGACUUGUUUUGUUAAACGUGUCUCUACGCCUCGAAGGAACAGAGCAGCAGACAAAUAUCUUCGUAUGAAUUAAAAUGCAUUGAUUCUUGGAGGGAAAUGAUGGUCUCUGUUAAAAGCUUUUUUGGAGAUGUUAGCACCCCUUCCUCCCUGCCUUCUGCUCUCCCCCAAAAUGGUGGCAGUUUUCAGAGCCCAUCUGAAGUUGGAGGUGGUGGCGGGUGGGUGGGGUGGAAAGGAGGAGGGACGCGUGGCACUGCCAAUCCCCUGCAGGGAUUGUGCGAGCAGGAAGCUGCUUCUCUCUGGGGAAAGGAACAUUGCAGGGGUUCAAUGUUGUCCAUCUCCUAACCAGCCAGAGACAGAUGCCCAGGUAGAAGCUGAGGGGAGGGGAGACCAAGGUUCCACUGAUAAGGAAAACCAUAAGAAGAUGAAGGGCUUGGGGGCCAAGGAUGGGUUGCAGAAAUGAGGGUGCCUAUGCCGUUUCAGUCUCUAAGUCAACGGCCUCUUGGUGUCGAAGGGGAAAUGAGUGGAAGAUAAUCACCAAAACGAUGCAGGAGGGAGUUAUCUUACUUUCUUACCUUCUGAAUGAGCUGGACAUGAACCAGAGGUGUAAUUUAGGCAUUUCUCACCCUCAUUAAUGAAUAGCUCCCAUGGGGUGUGCAGACAGCAGGGCUAGAAAAAUGAUUCCAGGAGCCAGGAAGGAAGCAAUUGGCCCGGAACUUAUUUUUCAUGUGCUGAGACUCCCUGGAUCUUUCUGGAUCAGAGCCACUUGGGACAAGUUUGAGGGUUGAUCAUGGACUUAACUCCUCAUUAGCCAUUCCUAGCUCCUUCUCAGUUGCCCGAUACACCCUGGGUGGGGGAUUAAAUCCAUCAGGGGGUGUUUGUUGGCAAAGGGUGGGCUAGAAAGUGCUGACCAGUUGCCCAGGUAGCGCUACCCAUGGGAGCUAAACGUUCUCCAAGGGUGACAGAAGGGAAGAUUGCUAAGAAAGACCUUGGAGGGAUGGUCAUCUAUGAAGCCACCUAUUUUCACCUCUGGCUGCAGCUAUUAUAAAUCAAGAGUCACAUCUAUUUACCCCGGACAGUAGAUUCUCUCCCCCUCACUUUCUUCUACUUCUCUUCACUCUCUUCCAGUUGUCCCUACUCUGCUUUGGCAAGGGGAUUGCCUAGCCUUAGAAAGAAAGGAUCAAAGCACUGGAAGGGAUUUUAUGAAUCCUUCAUCCAACCCUCAUCUGACGCUUUAUCCUGUGCCUCUGUAAUACCUUUGCAAAUAUAGUGUUGGCUUGAAUGCUCUGACCAUGGACUGCACAUCAUCUCCCAUGUGUCUUUUUCAAAUCGUUCUAGUCAGUUCCAAGAUCCCCCUGCCCCUAGCCCACCAAAUUAACACCAAACCUAAAUGAGCCUCAACCUGGUGUCUUUGGUUCCGUCCUCUGGGGUAGCACACAGGCAGUCAUAUUCUUCUCCCACAUGGAUUUCUUUAGACAUUUCAGGAUAGUUACAAUGUCCCCACUGAGGCCUCUUUUCUCCAGGCAAAACACCCUAAGUUUUUCAGCUGUUUUUAAUAUGGCAUGGUUUCAGGUCCUUCCACCAUUUUUAGGGUCAGCUGCAUAAUUUGUGUGAGUCCCCAGUGCAAAUUGAAAAUUCAGGGCCCUGAGUUUGAAAUUAUUAGAAAUUUCAAGAUGACAUGAGGACCCUUCUGAGUGACUAUAAAGAUUGCACACCCAUAAGGCAGCCUUGACCAUAGGAGACCUCUUUUUCUGGAUUUCAGUCUGCAGUGUCCUUCUAAGUGAUGUUGCAGGGUUAGUCUGUCCAGAAACAGAGUGACAGUCACUUUUUUUUUUUCCUGGAUAUAUCCAUUAGCGUUAGCAAAGCACUUGACGAUCACAUUAACUUUACUGGCAAUCAGAGCAUACAGGUGAGUCAUACUCAGCAAAUGUCUGCUCUAAAGUCUGGGUUUGAUUCAUAUCUACCAUGGCCAAGUCACCUCUCUCAUUUUUGUGCAGUUGGAAGAAUCCAUACUGGUGAACUUUGCUUUGCCUGUUAAAAUCCAUCCCAGAGCUUAACCACAUUAUUAUUUUUAGAUCAUUUUUCAUUCUUCAACCUACAGAGAAACACUUACCAAGUUCCCACUGUGUGCUAAGACAGUCAUAGGUGUUAGGAUACACCUCUGAAUAAAGCCUGACCUUGACCUUAAGGAGCUUUAGUUUAGAAAAGAUAUUUAAACAAUAAUUACAUGAAAAUGUACUAAUUCCUACAAUAGGAUCAUACUAUGGGAGUGGAAAAGAUGGGAAGUCUUCUUUUUCAAAGAAGUAGCAUUUGAGAUAGCUCUUGAAGGAUGAGCAGAGGUUUGGCACAUGGGAAAGGGAGAGGGGGGAAGCCCAGCUUUAUUGCCUGGUUUCCUCCCCAGAAACUCCUGCCUCAUUUGUUUUGGCCAUUCUUCUAGGGCAGCACCAAGGAACUUGGCCCAUGUGGUUCCUCACAGAUACCCACAGCCUGUUCCAUCUCUGAGGCCUUUCAGGCAGACCCUGUGCCUUGAUGAGAAGACAUUGCUGAAGUUUUUGCUGCAGUUUUAAUUUCUUGACAUCAUCUGGGUGCGUUGGGAAAAAUGAGAUCUAAUAAUGAAUGAUUACAACUCUCAAGUUAAGUCUAGUUGGUUGACUAAUCAAUUUGGUUAAGUGAAAAUCCAUAGCAAAUGAGUCGACCGCAGUAUGACAUUUCUCCAUCCAAUUUAAAUUAAAAUCACCAACCAUAAUAAUUUCACAAUUACUCAGGGAGGGCACACUGGAGACUUGACCCCCGGAGCAGAGAAAUUGCAAAUGCCGCAGAGGAUGGGCUAAGAGUGGGGUGAUGAGGAAGUCACUUGAGCUGAACUCUGCUUGAACUGCUCAGCCUCGUCAGCUCGUGGGGGUGGUGGGGCCACAAGAGAUGCUGAGCAGCAGUUUUAUAUUCUUGGGUGCAGUCCUGCAUCUCCUCCCCUGGGGAGACAGGAGUUUCUAGCUUCCUGGCAAGAAAGCCCACAGAUAGCUCCCCCAACAGGAGAACAGAGAGUCUCUUUUCUCCAGUCACAGGAUGAGGAAAGAGGUGAAUGUUAUCUUGGCAUGUUAAAUCCCCAAUUUAGACUAUAAAUUCCUGGACAGUGGAUGCCAUGUCUGUUUAUCUUGAGUGAAGAGUGUUAAGUGGGUGUAAUAGGCAAUUAAUAGGUUUUUGAUAAUGAGGAUGACAGAGCAAAGGAAAGGAUUAGAUUUUAUCUAAUGUGAUAAAUGUUUAUUUGCUGAAUGUCCCCUUUAUGCCAGGAGCGGUAUUAGGCACCAUGGAGUGAGAAAUGGCUUAAACAUAUAGCACUGCCUUCCAGGAGCUCAUAGCCUCUUGUGUAGCCUGAGAGAUAAACACUUAAUAUGAAUACAAGGCCAAAUGUCAUUAACGUUCAGUAAGGAACUUGAAAGAUAAGAAUGUUUUAGAUCAGGGAAUCUCAUGCAAACAUUUUGUCUGCCAGUUCCCUCAUCUGUAAAAGGCAUUUACUAGCUCACACAGUGGUCAGAUGAAGGAGGUGGCUGGUACAUGCUGCUGGUCCCUCAGCCAUUUUUCUCUCCUUCUACAGCAAUAAAACACCCAAAUGUCUGCAUGGAAUCUCGACUACAUUUCCCAGGCUCCCUUGUGUGUGUGGUCACAUGACUGAGGUCAAGGCAGUGGAAUACAAGUACAUGCAGCUUCUAGGAAGUGCCCUUAAAGGGAGGGGUCAGGUCCUCAUCUUCCCUCUGCUUCCUGCUUCCUUCCUUUGGGCAGGAAUUCAGGCUGAGUGCCUGGAGCUGG
rnacentral:lncRNA from 1 species